UUAGAGAAUAAUGGACUUUGGAUAUGGAAUUGCCCCUAGCUGAACCUGGCUAGCAAUUCUUGGUGUUUCCGUUUGAAGAGAGGAACAAAGCAGAUGAUCAGAUCAGACAUCGUUGAAACAAAGGUUAUGAUGACGUCCCAGAUGAACUCUAAGGUCUUUUCUGACCUGAACUUCUGUGAAUUUAUAUUUUCAAAUCCUCUCCAAAAAAACCAGAAAACUUCAAGUUUAAAGAGUUGUGUAAUAACUGUGAGGCACAAG